rnacentral:tmRNA from 1 species
GGGGUUGACCGGUUUUGACAGCGUGUAGAAGUGGUAUGUAAGCAUGCAGAGCAAUGAUGGCUACGCUCUAUAAUAUGGGACAUCAAAAUUUUAAAUGGCGAAAAUAACUACGCUCUUGCUGCUUAAUCGAAGUACAGUAGAUUAGCUUAAUCGCCGCAACAGUUGCAGCGACAAGACAUCGCCCGAUUGUCCUUUUUCCGAGACGGAUCGACAAGGCGGUGCAGGUAAAUCGGAAAUAGGAUGUCAAGAGUCUCGCGCGAUAUCCGAAACUUCAAGAGAAUAAGGCAGACAUUGGUCGUUUCUUGCCUGUGUCAGCACGAAAAUCAAAUAGAAACUAAGCAUGUAGAAAGCCUAUUAGUUCCACGUUUGGACGAGGGUUCGAAUCCCUCCAGCUCCACUU